rnacentral:rRNA from 1 species
AACGUAGGAGACAAACGUUAUCCGGAGUUACUGGGCGUAAAGGGCGUGCAGGUGGCUUGAUAAGUUCGGCGUGAAAUUUCCCGGCUUAACCGGGGGAUGUCGUCGGAGACUGUCGAGCUAGAGGGUGAUAGAGGCGUGUGGAAUUCCGGGUGUAGUGGUGAAAUGCGUAGAGAUCCGGAGGAACACCGAUGGCGAAGGCAGCUCGCUGGGACGGUACUGACGCUGAGGCGCGAAAGCGUGGGGAGCGAACAGG